GUGACACAGCCAGGAGUCAACUCAUUUCAAAAUCACUAAGCAGAUGCAUCUCCCUUACAAUACAUAUUUGUUCUCUCAUUUGGGUGGAGCUACUAUUGAUGCUAUUCUUACUUGUUAUUUCAGAAUUUGCUGGACUGAGAAGAAGAGAAAGAGAGGAGAAAAGUGCAGAAUGAGAACUACGUACAUAACUUACAGGAAGAUUGUGCAGCGUCGUGUCCGUGAACUUCCAGAGUUUGCAUUAAAAAGUGACAGAACAUCAGAGUGCCAGAAGCUUCUCAUAUUGUGGCUCUGAAGGAAAAAUAUAUUGAAGACAGAUGGGAACCAAAGAAAUGUGAAGCAUCCUGGAGCAUGCCUACUACAGCAGGAAGAACUUGGGGGCAAAAAAAGGUGUCUCUUCUCUUCAUGGAAGAGGGAAUCAGCUGAAAAUGAAGGCUAAAUAGAUGGGAGGAGAAGACUCCUCAAAAAUCAGAAACCUGAAGUUGCUUGCUCUACGUGGUACCAUCAUAGCCCGAGCAGCACCUCCCUGCUGUGGUUAUCAGGACCAACCUGCACCCAGCAGCCUCACACCGCCACCCUGCUCGCACAGGAACCCUGCAGCAUCGCUCGCUCUCUGAGCCGUGGGGUAGUCGGCGAGAGCAGCCGUGGGGCCUCCCGUGCUCCCCGGAAUUAGAGACCUCAGGAGGCAGCAAUGAGGGGAGCGGGGGGCUGCGGGAGGCUGCACUGCCGCCUGCAGCUCUGUGGGGCAGCCUCGGAGCCCCGAGUGCGCUGCAGCUCCCGCCCAGUAAAAAUCAGCCUGAAGAGCAAAUGGAUGCCAGUGACCACAAGGUGCUCUCUAAUUCACACGUCAGCGAUGCUACAGCUGAAAACACGUACCAUACCUACUCCGGCUUCCUUCUGGCCCCAAAACCACUUAAUUCCUGCACCAGCUUACAGGGGAGGUGGGCCUCAGCCAGCUCCCAUUUCCUGAGCUGGCCAGGAGCAGAUCGCCGAGGAAGAGCCUAAAGAAAAAAAGGUAGGGCUAACGGAGGCUGCAGCCACACCGCCGGGUUCAGCAGCCGCGGCUGGACCUGUUCUUUGUGAAGUGACUGAAGACUGUGACUCACACUGUGCUUUUUUUCGAUGACAUUUUGUUUUGCAUGAAAGUUUUGGGUUUGAAAAAUUACUACUGCGUUCAAGUUGUUUGCGGUUUUCAUUAGCUUCCACUAAGCUCUACAAAGGCCCCAAGAUCUCCUAGGUAUUUUACAUCUCCCGGUACUAUCUGCUUUAGUCACGUGGCUCCAAUUUUCCAUUAUCGGAGCUUUGCACCGCGCAGCUGGGCCUAGAGCCAGGGGCAGUUUUGGUGCAGUAAGGACCCGAAGCCGCCCUGCCCAGACUGUGGGCUUGACCAUUGGGGGAACAAUGCACACGGCCAAGUCUGCACUAAAGACCCUGUGCAUUAGAUUUGGUGCAAGUUUGAAAUUUAUAAACCUGUGAAAGUUUUAUAUGUACCUAAUUGCAUUAGCCCAAAAGUAGUUUUAAGAGCGGCACUAUAAAAAUGGGAUUAUAAUAGCUGGAUAGACACAUACAAAUAUAUAUCUUCAUUUUUAAAAGCUGUGGGUUAGGAAUAGACAAGAGGUUUCCAGCUGGUACAGGCACUGCCCUCUUGUGACUGAAUACUCGAAAUACAGGCAAACCUCCAGCUGCAGCUGCUCAGCAGAGCUCACCUCUACAGAAGAUAAACAUUGAUGUUAUUGCUGUAAAAACGUUGAGAUGUUCUGAGCACUUUUCCCAUAGUGAUUCACAGGAGGCCCCAGCUUUAGCUUUUAAAAAAGUCAAAUAAUAAUCUUCUUGCAAAUGAGAAACUCAGUUUAGAAAACAAACCAAUCCUUUACACUACAGAAGUAGGUAAUGCAUUUCCUAAAAAUAUAUUUUGCAAGUAUUUUUACAACUGUUUAAGUAUUUGCAAUACGAUAAAGAUUUUAAAAAUA